GGGGGACAUCGGCCCAGCGGACUGGACCUGCGGCUGGCACAGCGGCGGGUACACGGGAGCAGCGGCAUGGGGCGAGGGGUCGCUGCGUCGGCCAAGGCAUGGCAAAGUCGAGCUCGCAAGGUUCCAGUAUGGGUGCAGGCAGUCACGGUGUCCGUGGGCUUCUGAGGUUGCGACCACCGGUGCCCUAUAGAGAAGGCCCUCUAGCUUAUGAGCCCACCGUGGUGUGUUUGUGCAGCAAAAAGGCACCACGGUGGAUUUUAUGGAGUGAUGAUAAUCCAGGUCGGAGGUACUACAGAUGCAGCCGAGCAAGGGUACUUUGGUGCAUGUACGAUUUGAAUUGGCAUUGGAUUUGUUUGUUAUAUGCUGUAUAGACCGAUGGGGACUGUGGCUUCUAUGUGUGGUAUGAUCUUGAGCACACAACAUUUAUGAAGAAUUUACUUUUGGAUCUCCGUAAUGCUGUUUGGGAAUUGAGGAGCAAAGCGGAGGAUAUUGCUGAGUUGAAGCAAAACAAUGAACUGCUGUCCAGUGAGAAUAAAGAGAAGGUUGUAGUCAUAAAGGCACAAGAGAAGGAUCUGGAGGAGAAGAAUAAGCAAUUGGUACUCCUGGCUAACAAGAUCAGUUCAGGGAGUAGGUGUAGUUUAUUCUGUUGUAGCUUUAUAAUAUUACUUGUUGGCUUGUUCUUUGGCCUGAUGUUGGGUGCCAUGUGACAUAUAUGAAUACCCAUGUCUGGGAACAGAAGAACCAAAACAUGACUAGCCAUCUUGAAGCGAUUGAGACGGUCUUUGGUAUAUCUUUCUUGACUACGAAAUGAUUGUAUGAA